GGCGCAAUUGUGUACAAAGAUCUGCAAUGCAAAGGAGAAAUAAGCUAUGAGUGUCUAUUAAAAAAAUCAGUGAAGGUAGUAUAUAUUAAUAUAAACUAAUCUUAAGUGUUUAUUUCUACUUGCAAGUCCGAAGAAACGCGCUGACGCCGACAAAUUUCAACUUUUAUAGUAGAUUGUUACAGCCAUAUCGAAGAAAUUUAUCUCAAAGACACGAAAACAGCGUUUCGAGAAAAAAAGUGAAUAAUUUUUUAUAAGCGCACUUUUGUAAAAACCUUUGAGCUACCAAGUUGCCCUACAGAGAUGAAAAUAUACUAAAGCAAAUAAAUUUCCUUGUGAACUCAUUUCUGCUACGCUGAGUGCUGAAAUUUCGCUAAUAUUUAAAAAUAUAUUAUUUAUUGUUUAUUUUGAAUAAAUUCACGCCAAACAUAAAUGAACGUUGAGAUAUGUGUGCGAACUGCAUUCCUCAAUAUUUGCCUAAUUUAAUAUAGUAUGCGCCUAUGAUGACAUUUGCAGACCACCUCGCACAGCAGCUGUUUUGUUUAUUAUUUUUCAUUGGCAUUUAUUUUUUUGUUAUUGUUUUGCUGCAUGCCGACCAUAAAUUCGCGUUGGUUGGUGACGUUUGUUAUUUUUCGCUCUUGUGGUCGUUUUUUGACGACGCGCACGCAAUCAUUAGCGUUUAUUCAUGACGUCAUAGCAUGGCAUAUACCGUUAGGCAUAAGCAAAGACAACAAUGACACAAUGUGUGUAUUAAUAAAGCAUAUUAAUUUAGCGAACAACACCUUGAUUGCUGAGAUGCUAUGCGACAGCAACUAUACAUAUUAUAAAUUGCUGUUGUUGCUUACUGCUUUGUAGAAUUUUAUAUAUUUUUUUGUAUCAUGUUUUGGCUGUCAUGCAAGAUUUUUAAUUAUUAUUAAUAGGAUCGUCGCAAUAAGAAUAAUAUAAAUAAAAAAUAGCAAUUUUUGACGUCAGCAAAAUAGCGUAUUUUAAGCUUUAAGCAUACAUACAUAUAUGCGCCCUCAUACCACAGUAAACCACGCCAGACAGUUUAAUAAUGGAUUUCAAAAUUUGCGAGAAGAUAGAUACUUGACUGUAUAAGCAAACAAGAAAAGCAAUAACUUCGGCUACAUCGAAUCUACAAUAGCUUUCACAAAUAAAACAACUUGUACGAAGAUUAUACCGUUGCCUUAUAUAAUAAUCCAUCCUUAAUUUCGUGCAGAUAUCUCGCCAAACUCAACAUUUUUCCAUACGAAAACUUUAUUUUGAUCGUUCGGUUUGUAAAACAGCUAUAUGCUAUAGUAGUGCAAUCUUAAACAAUUAAAGCAAUGUCUUGUGCAAUAAUCUGUGCCAAAUUUCGUAACGAUAUCUUAUCAAAUAAAAAAGUUUUCUAUACGAA